rnacentral:rRNA from 1 species
AUCGAACGCUGGCGGCAGGCCUAACACAUGCAAGUCGAGCGGAGCGGCGGACGGGUGAGUAAUGCCUAGGAAUCUGCCUGUUAGUGGGGGAUAACGUCCGGAAACGGGCCCUUAUACCGCAUACUAUCAGACGAGCCUAGGGUGGAUUAGCUAGUUGGUGGGGUAAAGGCCUACCAAGGCGACGAUUCAUAACUGGUCCGAGAGGAUGAUCAGUCACACUUGAACUGAGACACGGUCCAGACUCCUACGGGAGGCAGCAGUAGGGAAUAUUGGACAAUGGGCGAAAGCCUGAUCCAGCCAUGCCGCGUGUGUGAAGAAGGUCUUCGGAUUGUAAAGCACUUUAAGUUGGGAGGCGUUACCAAAAGAAUAAGCACCGGCUAACUUCGUGCCAGCAGCCGCGGUAAUUC